rnacentral:rRNA from 1 species
UAAUUGCACUUCGCCUGGGGACUACGGUCGCAAGACUAAAACUCAAAGGAAUUGACGGGGACCCGCACAAGCGGUGGAGCAUGUGGUUUAAUUCGAUGCAACGCGAAAAAACCUUACCACUUUCUUGACAUGGAAGGCUAGAA